rnacentral:rRNA from 1 species
AUACAGAGGGUGCGAGCGUUAAUCGGAAUUACUGGGCGUAAAACGCGCGUAGGCGGCUACUUAAGUCAGAUGUGAAAUCCCCGGGCUCAACCUGGGAACUGCAUCUGAUACUGGGUAGCUAGAGUUUAGGAGAGGGAAGUAGAAUUUCAGGUGUAGUGGUGAAAUGCAUAGAGAUCUGAAGGAAUACCAGUGGCGAAGGCGGCUUCCUGGCCUAAAACUGACGCUGAGGUGCGAAAGCGUGGGUAGCAAACGGGAUUAGAAACCCGAGUAGUCC